rnacentral:rRNA from 1 species
UACGUAGGGUGCGAGCGUUAAUCGGAAUUACUGGGCGUAAAGCGUGCGCAGGCGGUGAGCUGUGUCCGAUGUGAAAGCCCCGGGCUUAACCUGGGAAUGGCAUUGGAAACUGGCUCGCUGGAGUGUGGCAGAGGGGGGUGGAAUUCCGCGUGUAGCAGUGAAAUGCGUAGAGAUGUGGAGGAACACCGAUGGCGAAGGCAGCCCCCUGGGCCAAUACUGACGCUCAUGCACGAAAGCGUGGGGAGCAAACAGG